UUAAGCUACUAAGGGCGUACGGUGGAUGCCUUGGCGCCAACAGACGAAGAAGGACGUGGCAAGCUGCGAUAAGCCUCGGGGAGCCGCAAGCAGGCUUUGAUCCGGGGAUUUCCGAAUAGGGAAACCUAUCCUGGUAAAACCAGGUUACGGCCCGCUGAAUACAUAGGCGGGUGCGAGUCAACCCAGGGAAGUGAACCAUCUCAGUACCUGGAGGAAAAUAAAUCAAUUGAGAUUCCGAUAGUAGCGGCGAGCGAAAUCGGAACAGCCCAAACCGGGGUGUUUACAUCCCGGGGUUGUAGGACCGCGUGAGUAGAGUUACCAAUCCGGAGGCUAGGUGAACCUGCUGGAAAGCAGGGUCAAAGAGGGUGAAAACCCCGUAACCGAAAGCUUACCGGACUCGAAGCGGUAUCCUGAGUACCACGGGGCACGAGAAACCCCGUGGGAAUCUGGGGAGACCACUCUCCAAGGCUAAAUACUCGUUNNNNNNNNNNNNNNNNNNNNNNNNNNNNUGUGGGAAUAGACGCGAAGCGGGAUGAUCUACCCUUGGCCAGGUUGAAGGUCGCUUAACCGCGACUGGAGGACCGAACCGGUGUGAGUUGAAAAUCGCUCGGAUGAGCUGAGGGUAGGGGUGAAAGGCUAAUCAAAUUCCGUGAUAGCUCGUUCUCCCCGAAAUGCCUUUAGGGGCAGCCUCGUAUGAUUUGCCACGGUGGUAGAGCACUGAAUGGACUAGGGUCCCAUCCAGGAUACCGAAUCCAAUCAAACUCCGAAUGCCGUGUACAACAGUACGGGAGUGAGACUACGGGGGAUAAGCUCCGUGGUCGAGAGGGAAAGAACCCAGACCGCCAGCUAAGGUCCCAAACUGCAGACUAAGUGGGAAAGGACGUGUGAGCGCACAGACAGCCAGGAGGUUGGCUUAGAAGCAGCCAUCCUUUAAAGAAAGCGUAACAGCUCACUGGUCAAGUGUUCACGCACCGACAAUCCAACGGGGCUAAGUCUGCGACCGAAGCUGCGGAAUUGACGAUUCCUACGGGAAUUCGUCAUUUGGUAGGGGAGCAUUCUAUUGUGUUCGACGGUAGAUCGAGAGAACUACUUGACGCAAUGGAAGAGACUCUGCCGGCAUAAGUAGCGAUAAACACGAUGAGAACUCGUGUCGCCGAAAGUCUAAGGUUUCCUGAGGAAGGUUAAUCCGCUCAGGGUUAGGCGGGUCCUAAGGUGAGGCCGAGAGGCGUAGCUGAUGGACAGCAGGUCAACAUUCCUGCCCCGCCAUACGAACGUUUGACGAUGGGGUGACGCAGAAGGAUAGGGGAGUCGGGUGAUGGACGUCCCGAUGUCUUGGUGUAAGCCGGAUCCCGCAGGAAAAUCCACGGGGUCAUUCAACGGUCAGACCAGGUCCGAGGCCACACGGCCACAAAGUCUCUGAUUUCACGCUGCCAGGAAAAACCUCUAAGGAGUUCGGAUGGUGCCCGUACCUCAAACCGACACAGGUAGACAAGGUGAAUAUCCACAGGCGCUCGAGAGAACGCUCGCUCAGGAACUAGGCACAUUAGCCCCGUAACUUCGGGAGAAGGGGUGCCCCGCUAGGGUUUAUAGCCCGAGGGGGCCGCAGUGAAAUGCGUUCGGCGACUGUUUAACAAAAACACAGCUCUCUGCUAAGUCGAAUACGACGUAUAGGGGGUGACGCCUGCCCGGUGCCGGAAGGUUAAAGGGAGGGCUUAGCUGCCGCAAGGCAGCGAAGGCUUGAUCUGAAGCCCCGGUGAACGGCGGCCGUAACUAUAACGGUCCUAAGGUAGCGAAAUUCCUUGUCGGGUAAGUUCCGACCUGCACGAAUGGCGUACCGAUCGAACGACUGUCUUGGCGAACGGCUCGGCGAAUUUGUGGUUCCGGUGAAGACGCCGGAUGCCCGCAUCUAGACGGAAAGACCCCGUGCACCUUAACUGCACUCUGGUCAUGAUUAACGGUACUGCCUGCGUAGGAUAGGUGGGAGCCUGGGAACCCUCGGUCUCGGCUGAGGGGGAGGCAACGGUGAAAUACCACCCUGAUAGUUCUGUCGCUCUAACUUACGGCCCUAGACGGGUCGAAGGACACGGCCAGACGGGUAGUUUGACUGGGGCGGUCGCCUCCUAAAUGGUAACGGAGGCGCUCAAAGCUCGGCUCAGGCGGAUUGGAAACCCGCCGUGGAGUGCAAGAGCAUAAGCCGGGUUGACUGCGAGACACACAGGUCGAGCAGGCACGAAAGUGGGAUCUAGUGAUCCGGUGGUUCUGCGUGGAAGGGCCAUCGCUCAACGGAUAAAAGGUACGCCGGGGAUAACAGGCUGAUCUAAGCCAAGAGUUCACAUCGACGCUUAGGUUUGGCACCUCGAUGUCGGCUCAUCGCAUCCUGGGGCUGUAGAAGGUCCCAAGGGUUAGGCUGUUCGCCUAUUAAAGCGGUACGUGAGCUGGGUUCAGAACGUCGCGAGACAGUUCGGUCCCUAUCUGGUGUGGGCGCAGGAAACUUGAGAGGAGCUGUCCCUAGUACGAGAGGACCGGGAUGGACGGACCUCUUGUGAUCGAGUUGUCACGCCAGUGGCAUCGCUCGGUAGCGAAGUCCGGAAGAGAUAAUCGCUGAAAGCAUCUAAGCGAGAAGCUCGCCUCGAGAUAAGGUUUCCCAACCCUCCUGCGGGGGGGUAAGAAGGCCAGUCGAAGACUACGACUUUGAUAGGCGGGAGGUGGAAGCGCAGUAAUGCGUGUAGCUAACCCGUACUAAUCGGCCGUUCGGCUUAACCAU
rnacentral:rRNA from 1 species